GUUGAAACAAAUCUUAAAUGAUUUCAUAAUGAUUGAAAAAAUCGAAGAUAAAUUCACUUAAAAUAUUCAGAGAAAAUCGAUAUUGAUUAUAAUAAAUGAAUCACUCUGUAUAAUCACUGUAAUUCAGAAAAAGAACAUUCGGGUAAUUUUGUAUACACACGUUGAAAAUACCGAAAAUAUAAAUAGUGAUCGUAACUCGUGGUAUGUUUGGGCUUCAAAAAUUAUAAUAAGAAACAUUGCAUAUUUGCUGGGCAUCAUUGGAUUUAUACAGAGUGCCCCACAAAGAUAGACUCAUUAAAUAUCUUUAGGGAUAAUAAUGAUAAUCAAAUUGUGUUUUUUUUUUUUAUGUAUAUAUUACUCACAGGGAUAAGAACUACAAAUAAGUAUGUAUCAAAUAUUUUUAUGUUAUGGUAAAAAGCUGAAAAAAAUUAAUUUCCUUCAAAAAUCAACUUUAUACUUUUAUUAAACUCAUGAUUUUUAAUAACUUUUAAAGUUUACAGUCAAUUAGCCAUAACAAUAAUGACCAAUCACUGAAUGAGAUUACAGCCUCUGCUGUAUUUAUUGUUACUUUUCUCUGAACUUUAAAACUUUAUUAUAAAUUACAAAUAAAAUUUGAAAUAUCAAAAUGUUCAGAAAAAUAAACUUAAAUUUGUUUAUUUAACUAAAAUAAAAAUAUUUGUAGUCCUUAUCCCUGCGAGUAAUAAAAAAAAAAAAUUAAUACAAUUUUGAUUAUCUUUAUUAUCUCGGGAAAUAUUGCAGUACGUAUGUCUUCGUAGGACACUCUGUAUAUGAAAGUGCAUAAUGUGUUGUACAUGCCGUAGAGGGGCUUUCACAUUUUAUGUUACAGACGAAAUAUCAUCUUAAAAUAUUUAUUAUUUUGUUUUGUUUUUUUUAAUCAAUCUUUGUGCUAACUUUUCAGAACCGUAUUAUAUUCUAAAAACGAAUUUGAUGUACGUAUAAAAAAUCGAUGUCGAGUCGUUCGGGCACCUAACUCGGUUUUUACCUAAUUAACUCAUAAUGUGCAUCAAUUUCAAAACUAUAUAUAAUACAAAGUGUUCCAUUUAAAUGGAUACACUAACUAUCUCGGAAAGUAUUAACAUUUUUGAAACAUGUUUUAUACAAAAAUUAAGAAACAAGCAACUCUAUACAAUUUUACAUUUAUGUCAUUUUAGAAGUAAAACCACUACCUAUUUUUGAUUUUCAAUUAGUAACCCUUUGAUUUCCUUUAAUCUAUUGACGAAAUAUUCCACUUUUAAAUAUAGGUUGGACAGUGACGCUAGCCGGGGGUAGGCGUUAGGGGUUUAAACCUAAGUUUAAUAAGAAACUUAAAUCUAAUAAAUUUAUAGAGCCACUUAUAAACAAUUUUCAAAAAUCGUUCGCUAUUCUCUCCUCAAAGACGUAGCCCGAGUUUCAUCACUGAUAUAAUAUAGGUAGUUAUAGGUACUCGUAAUAAGAAACCAUGCAGUAAACAUUGUAGCAAUAUGUGUAUACCGUCAUUGUAGACGUAAUACUUACUUUUGUUUGAGGUAUUUAAAAAAAUAUAUCUCAAAUGAAAUAAAAUAAAUGAAUCGAUCGC